rnacentral:rRNA from 1 species
CGGCCGCGUAACACGUAAGCAACCUGCCCUGAAGUGGGGGACAACAUCCCGAAAGGGGUGCUAAUACCGCAUGUGGUCACGAGUCGGCAUCGACUUGUGUCUAAAGAUUUAUCGCUUCAGGAUGGGCUUGCGGCCUAUCAGGUAGUUGGUGGGGUAAUGGCCUACCAAGCCGACGACGGGUAGCUGGUCUGAGAGGACGAUCAGCCGGAUUGGGACUGAGAUACGGCCCAGACUCCUACGGGGGGCAGCAAUUAGGAAUCUUGCGCAAUGGGGGAAACCCUGACGCAGCGACGUCGCGUGAAGGAUGAAGGCCCUCGGGUCGUAAACUUCUUUUGAGUGGGAAGAAAUUUGACGGUACCACUCGAAUAAGCCCCGGCUAACUACGUGCCAGCAGCCGCGGUAAUACGUAGGGGGCGAGCGUUGUCCGAAGUUACUGGGCGUAAAGCGCGCGUAGGCGGUUAUUUAAGUCUGGGGUGAAAGGUUCAGCGCUCAACGUGAA